AUGAUGAGGAGCUUGCUCCUCUGAUUUAGCGGCGGACGGGUGAGUAACACGUGGGUAAUCUGCCUGUAAGACGGGGAUAACUCCGGGAAACCGGGGCUAAUACCGGAUAAUAAGAGAAGAAGCAUUUCUUCUUUUUGAAAGUCGGUUUCGGCUGACACUUACAGAUGAGCCCGCGGCGCAUUAGCUAGUUGGUGAGGUAACGGCUCACCAAGGCGACGAUGCGUAGCCGACCUGAGAGGGUGAUCGGCCACACUGGGACUGAGACACGGCCCAGACUCCUACGGGAGGCAGCAGUAGGGAAUCUUCGGCAAUGGGCGAAAGCCUGACCGAGCA
rnacentral:rRNA from 1 species